AUUGAACGCUGGCGGCGUGCUUUACACAUGCAAGUCGGACGAGUGGCGAACGGGUGAGUAACGCAUCGGAACGUACCGAGUAAUGGGGGAUAACUGUCCGAAAGGACAGCUAAUAACGCAUAUUAUUCGAGCGGCCGAUGUCGGAUGAGCUGGUGGGGGGGGUAAAGGCCCACCAAGGCGCCGAUAAGGAGCGGGUCUGAGAGGAUGAUCCGCCACACUGGGACGGAGACACGGCCCAGACUCCGACGGGAGGAAGCAGUGGGGAAUUUUGGACAAUGGGCGCAAGCCUGUUCCAGCCAUGCCGCGUGUCUGAAGAAGGCCUUCGGGUGGUAAAGGACUUUUGUCAGGGAAGCGGUACCUGAAGAAUAAGCACCGGCUAACUACGUGCCAGCAGCCGCGGUAAUAC
rnacentral:rRNA from 1 species